rnacentral:lncRNA from 1 species
GUGUUUGGUCGACAUCUACAGGAGGUGAAAAAGGGUUCUUCUUCAAAACCCUAAAUCACAAUGAAAUUCAACAAAAAUCAAAGGAAAUCAAGCUAGAAAUUUGGGGGUUUAACUAAAAUCGUGAUCACCAAGCUUAGGGGAUCAUAAGUUUGACGCUAAACGAGCUAGGUGGAAGCUUGAGGACGAAGCGGGUCAAACAAAUCAAUAAGGAAAAGUAAAGCAUAGUUUGGAUGCGAGCUGGGCAAAUAUGCAGUUGAAAGAGGGGAACAUUCUAUCGAAAUGAUGGGGUCGCGCUGCGCGACGACCAAGGUAAAACACAGUCGCGACAACGAUCGUGGCACGCGACAGAUUUAGGGAACCCCGCCGCGGCACGCGACAGGCGUGAAUGAUGUCAACUUUCCGGAUGAAGAUCAAGCGUCUAACAAGAACCGAACACAUGUUAAUAAAGCUUCCGUGUUAAAUCUUGUUUUGAUUUCAUAAUGUAAAUUAUGGAAACACUUAAGAUCAGUAUUAUGAAUGUUUA